CAACCUUUGGAAGCAAACCUCCAGUGCCUUCUUAAAGCAUAUCAUCAGAAGACCAGUUGUGGUAAAAUUAAAUCCUGGAGUGAAUUAUUGAGGGGACCUGGCUUGCCUGGAUGACUGCUCGAAUAUAGCCCUGAGAAGGCAGAGGAAUAUGUAAGUGGACAACCGAAGAGUAAGUAUGGGUAUGCAUUUCUCUGAGGAAACAAUGUGUCGCAUAUCAGUACACAGGAGAGAAGGA
rnacentral:lncRNA from 1 species